GGUCUGAUAGUCCAGCGGUUAAGAACAGUUGCCUGGAAAAUGAAAGACUCGGGUUCGAUUCCCGGUCGGUGCU
rnacentral:tRNA from 1 species